GGGGGGCGCGCCAGCUUCAGUUUGGAAACCAGACUGAGAUGGGGAGUUUGGCUGGGGCGGCAUAUCUGCUAAACAACAACGCAGGUGUCCUAAGGCGAGCUCAGUGAGGACAGAAACCUCACGUAGAGCACAAGGGCAAAAGCUCGCUUGAUCUUCGACUUUCAGUACUAGUCGAGAAAGUGAAAGCUUGGCCAGCGAUCCUUUGAGCACGUACAUUCAGGUAUAAUGCCAGAGGUGUCAUAAAAAUUACCACAGGGAUAACUGGCUUGUGGCAGCCAAGCGUUCCUAGCGACGUUGCCGUUUGAUCCUUCGAUGUCGGCUCUUCCUAGCCUUGCGCCGCAGCAGACGCAAAGGGUCGGAUUGUUCACCCGGAUGAGGGAACGUGAGCUGGGUUUAGACCGUCGUGAGACAGGUUGGUUUUACCCUACUUAAUCGUACAUAUCAACUCGGCGCUCCGAGGGUAAUGCGAAGUAGUACGAGAGGAACUUUCGUUUCGCCUCACUAGCAACCGCGGUCCUCCGAAGCGAGGCGCCGCAACGCCACCAGGCGAUGAUUCACAGCUGAACGCCUCUUAAGCUGGAAAUCAACCCCGACGAGCGCCUUGGCCGCACGGCCAACCGGUGCCGAAGUGUAUGCCCGCGACGGUAUGGUCCUCGGACCGCCAUCGGGCAGCUCUAUCGAGCCAUCGUAACGUACGAGUAGGUACCACGGAACACCUGGAACAUACGAUUCCAGAUGCACAGCCAGGUAUACGUGCUGGAGGAAUCUAGGUUCCGACUCACUGAGCCUGUGUGAUGUGCCAAUAGGUGCGA
rnacentral:ncRNA from 1 species